rnacentral:rRNA from 1 species
UACGUAGGGCGCAAGCGUUAUCCGGAAUUAUUGGGCGUAAAGAGCUCGUAGGCGGUUUGUCGCGUCUGCCGUGAAAGUCCGGGGCUCAACUCCGGAUCUGCGGUGGGUACGGGCAGACUAGAGUGAUGGUAGGGGAGACUGGAAUUCCUGGUGUAGCGGUGAAAUGCGCAGAUAUCAGGAGGAACACCGAUGGCGAAGGCAGGUCUCUGGGCAUUAACUGACGCUGGAGGAGCGAAAGCAUGGGGAGCGAACAGG